UACGUAGGGCGCAAGCGUUGUCCGGAAUUAUUGGGCGUAAAGGGCUCGUAGGCGGUCUGUUGCGUCGGGAGUGAAAACUUACAGCUUAACUGUGAGCGUGCUUUCGAUACGGGCAGACUUGAGGCAUUCAGGGGAGAACGGAAUUCCUGGUGUAGCGGUGAAAUGCGUAGAUAUCGGGAGGAACACCAGUGGCGAAGGCGACUAUCUGGGUUGUAACUGACGCUGAGGCGCGAAGGCUAGGGGAGCGAACAGG
rnacentral:rRNA from 1 species